UACGUAGGGUCCGAGCGUUGUCCGGAAUUAUUGGGCGUAAAGGGCUCGUAGGCGGUUUGUCGCGUCGGGAGUGAAAACACGGGGCUUAACCCCGUGCCUGCUUCCGAUACGGGCAGACUAGAGGUAUGCAGGGGAGAACGAAUUCCUGGUGUAGCGGUGAAAUGCGCAGAUAUCAGGAGGAACACCGGUGGCGAAGGCGGUUCUCUGGGCAUUUACCUGACGUGAGGAGCGAAAAGUGUGGGGGAGCGAACAGG
rnacentral:rRNA from 1 species